UGGGGAAUUUUGGACAAUGGGCGAAAGCCUGAUCCAGCAAUGCCGCGUGUGUGAAGAAGGCCUUCGGGUUGUAAAGCACUUUGUCCGGAAAGAAAUCCUUGGCUCUAAUACAGUCGGGGGAUGACGGUACCGGAAGAAUAAGCACCGGCUAACUACGUGCCAGCAGCCGCGGUAAUACGUAGGGUGCAAGCGUUAAUCGGAAUUACUGGGCGUAAAGCGUGCGCAGGCGGUUUGCUAAGACCGAUGUGAAAAUCCCCGGGCUCAACCUGGGAACUGCAUUGGUGACUGGCAGGCUAGAGUAUGGCAGAGGGGGGUAGAAUUCCACGUGUAGCAGUGAAAUGCGUAGAGAUGUGGAGGAAUACCGAUGGCGAAGGCAGCCCCCUGGGCCAAAUACUGACGCUCAUGCACGAAAGCGUGGGGAGCAAAACAGGAUUAGAUACCCUGGUAGUCCACGCCCUAAACGAUGUCAACUAGUUGUUGGGGAUUCAUUUCCUUAGUAACGUAGCUAACGCGUGAAGUUGACCGCCUGGGGAGUACGGUCGCAAGAUUAAAACUCAAAUG
rnacentral:rRNA from 1 species